GGCUGAUCAUCUGACAGAACUUUGCAGUGAACAUAUCCUAACAGAGUUCAGUUGUUGGAGGGAAGGAAGGUAGGGUGGAGCAGCAAGCUAGAGCAGACUUCUAGUUCUCAUACUUUCUCGCAGAGAAGAGCUUGAAGAUGUGACUGGCAUUAAAACGUGACUUGGGCACUGCAGUGCCUUACAUUGUGGAUUUACACCGCAAUCUGCUUAUGAGGGGUGAAGCCUCUGGGACCUUGGAAGGAGAGGAGGACUCUUGAAAACUGCACUAGAAUAAAAUAUAGGAACUUAUAAGUACUAAUUAUUGUUCAACUACAAUUACAUAUAAGCUUAAAAGAAGUGUCAGGACUUUUCUGCUUCUCCCAAAUACAAGGGCACCCAGUGUGUUCAGUAUCAUCCAGGACAGGAAUGGGCUGCUUUUUUAAAUUGCCUUAUGCCUUUAAUGAUUAAAAUGAAAAGACAUUCAUUGGAGGCAGGCUGGUUCAUUAGCUCAAGCCAUGGCAUAUUCUCUCACAUGUCCCUGCCAGUGACUGAGAUGA